AUGAGCACCAGACCCCAGGCACACCUGGGAUCCCAUCCUCCUUUCUUGUUGCUGUUCCUAUUUGCAAUUCCCCAAACCUGGAGUCUUUGCGGAUUUAACAUCUGCCACUUCACCCUGCGCGUUAGUCCCCUCCUGGGCAUUCCGGACACUUUCCACUCAGGAAUCCGACAUUUAGCCUUUUUUUGUGCACACAGGGUCUCUCUCCCAUCCUCAGCUUUCAGAGAUCCUGACCACCAAACCGUCAUUAUCAUCUGCUUUCUCCUCUUGCACCAGAGCAUCUCCGAAGAAAAUCCCCAGUGGAGCAGGCCCAGCCCAGCAGGAGCGGAUGCUCAUCAGCUACAUCCAGCCUGGCCUCUGCUGUCUUGGACUUCCUGGCUCAGGCCUCAGAUUUGUCCUGGAUCUUCUCUCUCAUCAGCAAUUCUUUGAUGCCAAAUCUGGAGUGAGGCCAAGGGCUCCCCUUUCAGCUGAAAACCAGGUAUUUUUCAUGGUAAGUGAGUAGGAAUAAGUUCUUUGCCGCAAGACUGCUUGAGAAGCACUGCAGUAGAGUUCCUAACACAGAUGUCAGGGUCUGCAGGAUUUUAGAUAUGUUCCUUUUACAGGGAAGUGAACACCCAGGACAAUUAUUAAAACAUGAAGGAGCAGCUCCUUUCCAUCCUCCAGCAGCUCCACUGAUGGUCAUGACCAUGAAGUUCCCCUUAGCUCAGGGUGAGGAACGUCCCAACUACCUACUGUUGCUGCCCUCUGCUGCUGCUGUGGAGAAUUACACCGAGCCGAGCUUCCACUGCUGGAAGACCGGCACAAUCCAGCCCCACGUGGAGAGAAUCAUCAACAUGCUCUUUGUUCAGGAUUUGAUUGAAAACCCUAAAAUUCGGUUUCCACAGGGCCUUUAACAUCACAACUUUACAUUUUUCCAUACACUCUAUAAGUGCUCCCGCACAUUGCCACCAAACGCAGAUCUUUGUUACUGCAAGCUCAGCCUACUUGCAACCGAACACAGCCAGUUCUCAAACCUUCUCCUUGCUGACUUCCUCAUUUUGGUUUUCUGUGCCCCCAUAUAUCAGAUGUCCAGACUUGAGUCCUAAGUGAGCUGUGGCUGCUCAUAUCCUUUCAGCUGCCCAAACCCCUCCCUCCCUCCCUCUGCAAGGGCUUUGAGCACCCCCAGAGAUGCCCGCCUGCCUCCAAAUCUCUUCUCUUUACAGGUCUUUGAAAUUCAUUGUUCUGAAGUUUCUCUCUGAUCGGAGACCCUCUCCACUGUCCACACUUGGUCGAAGUUCCUUUGGCCUUCUACAUCUGACCCUUCCUGAGCUCAAGCCUUCUCUCAUGACACCCACACAGCUGCCACAGGCCGACUCCCGUUCUCCAUAUACACAUUAUCAUUUCCUCUGCGGUUUAUGUCAAAAAUACCCCUUUUCUAAGGAAAUUUUGACAUAUGCUACAAUAUGGAUGACCCUUGAGAACAUUAUGAUAAGUAACGUAAGCCAGUCACAAAAAAGCAAAUACUGUAUGAUUCCACUUAGGUGAAGUACACAGAGUAGUCAAAAUCAUAGUUACAGAAAGUACAAUGGAGGUAGCCAAGGGUUGGGGGGAAAGGAGGAUGGAGGGUUAUUGCUUAAAGCAUCUAGAGUUUCAGUUUUGUUUGUUUGUUUGUUUUAAGAUUGGCACCUGGGCUAACAACUGUUGCCAAUCUUUUUUUUUCUGCUUCUAUCUCCCCAAACGCUGCCCCGCCCCGCCCCGCCCCGCACACAGUUGUAUAUCCUAGCUGCAGGUCCUUCUAGUUGUGGAAUGCAGGAUGUCGCCUCAACGUGACCUGACGAGCGGUGCCAUGUCCGCACCCAGGAUCCGAACCCUGGGCCGCCGCGGAGCGUGCGAACUUAACCACUCGGCCACGGAGCCGGCCCCUAGAGUUUCAGUUUUACAAGAUGAAAAGAGUUCUGGAGAUGAUUGGUAGUCAUGUUAACAUAUUAUAAAUGUAUGUAAUACCACUGAAAUAUACACUUCAAAAUGGGUAAAAUAGUAAAUUUUAUGUCCUGUGCAUUUUACCACAAUAAACAAAUUAGGAAAAAAAAUACCCUCUUUUCU
rnacentral:lncRNA from 1 species